rnacentral:lncRNA from 1 species
GGUUGCUUCCAUAUUUUGACAAUUCUGCAUAAAGCUGCUAUAAACAUCCAGGAAUGGGUUUUUGUGUGGACAUAAGUUUUCACUCAUUUGUAAAUACCAAGGAGCACGAGUGCUGGAUCAUAUGCUGAGUGUGUUUAAUUUUAUAAAGCACAAAACACAGCUUGGUCUUCCACCAUGGCCGCAGCAUUUUGCAGUCCCUCCCACGGAAGCGUGAGUGGUCCUGCGUUCCACGUUCUCACGGGCACUGGUGUUGUCGGUGCCCUGGAUUUCAGCGACCCUAGCAAACAUGUAGUGGGCUUUGUGACAAUUUUUUAAAACCAUAAUUUUAAGCCAUAAAAGUACAGAAUUUCCUCCACUCACCUUUCACAUUACUGAAGAAUGGGAAGGGCAUGAACAGGGCUUUUCAAGGGUGAAGUGACCCACCUAAGGGAGACACUGAAGGUUUUUGGUAAUCUCAGAGAAGUAGAAUUUCUGAUUGAAACUGGAGCUGAAGACAGAUUCCCUUCUCCAUUCUUGCAGUUUGAAGAAACAUGGAAGCUAGGUGGACAACUGUGAAUGUCCUGGAACAAUCAUCACACAGACAGAGCACCCUAAGCACAACUACUCAGGUACGUGCAAAACAAGUGUAUAUACAUAACUGUCUUUAUUCUGGGAACAGGGGCAGGGAUCUGAGGACUUCUGUAUCAAGGCCUUUCUGCUCCUUAACUAGUUUGUUUCUCAAGGUCUGAGAUUAACAUUCAUAUAAAGUGCAACUACAACAUAGACUGUGGGCCAUGGAUUCCCACUGGCACA